UACGGAGGGUGCAAGCGUUGCUCGGAAUUAUUGGGCGUAAAGGGGAGGUAGGUGGUCUCAUUUGUCUGGGGUGAAAGCCUUGAGCUUAACUCAAGAAGUGCCCCGGAAACGGUGAGACUGGAGUCCUGGAGAGGGUCGUGGAAUUCCCGGUGUAGCGGUGAAAUGCGUAGAGAUCGGGAGGAACACCUGAGGCGAAGGCGGCGACCUGGACAGGUACUGACACUCAACUCCGAAAGCGUGGGGAG
rnacentral:rRNA from 1 species